AAAGAGAAACGGGGGGUGACUGAAACAUCCAGCUCUCUGAAUGGUUUGCAUGUUCAAACGAGAGCCUGUUAUCAAACGAAUUUAUUCAAAGUCAGAACAGAAGCCACUGCAGUGUGCAGUAGCAGCGCCGUACAGUGAGCGAGCCGUCGCCACAGCAACACCGUCAAGCGUAUGCUGCUGAUUUAUGUUUGUUAGUUUAUUUAGGUCAUCUUCUCUAAUGGAUCUACCUCAUUUCAUGAGCUUCCACUCUGAAGCCCUGCUGAGUGAAUGCACAGAGUCUGGACUGGGAAUGUAACCUGAGCAGAACCAGAUCCAGACACCUGUGUGUGUGUGUGUGCGCGUGUGUGUCUCUAGACUGGAGAUGAUCAGGCACUGCUGGUCACAGGCAAACUGGCGGAAUUGAUCUCAUAGUCAUGCAGCCUUGCUCAUAAAUCACAGAGAAACCGAGUUGAGGCAUAAAAAUACAUGCUGGAUUUAGUUUAUGGACCAAUCUGGAGGUGGAUUAAUUUGGAGCAGAUAUUUGACUUGAAAUAAAUGUGCUAUCAGAAUGAAGUCAGAGAUGUUUAGGAUAACAGCAGCGCCCCCUCUGGCAGAGAAAGUUCGCCCGUGUGACUCUGGAAUCUAUUCAGUGGAAAAGAACCUACCUGAAUUCAUUUUGGUUUGUGUAAGGAGGAGAAUGAUUGGUUCUGCUGAGAAAACGCCACGGCAAACAUUUGGCCAAGCUAAAAAAAAGAGGAAAGGAGAGGAAGGGAGGCUAACCAUCACCCGAAGGACACCUUUCUGACUAUUCACACUAAACUCUGAUAACUCCAGGAUAGUAAGUUGUCAGGUGUAAAGUGUCAUCCUGAAAUACUCUCUCUCUUUUCUCCCACCUCUGAAUUUUUACUCUCAUCAGCAUCUUUUAGAACACUUUUUUUACAGUUGCACCUUUCUAUGGAGUUUGCAGUGAAUUGAAAAUUGGUUCUGUGAUAGAAUCAAUAGUUUUAUUGUGAAAUUAUGCAUUUUAAUUUUCAACUGGACUUUAUCUUCUACUCUUAAAGGGGCAGGCUUUGCAUCAUGUUACAAUGUUAUUCCCUCAUCAAAAUGUACCUGGAGUAUUUCUGUGAUUCUUUCAAACAUGUUUGAGAAAUCCUUUAAUCUCCAUGGCAACCAUUCAGGUGUACAAAAAUGCCUGAGUGGACCUAGCUCCGCCUUCAAAAUGCAGCCUCUGAGUUGCAGUUUCUAAGCACAGAGCAGCAAUUCUCCACUCAGCUUCUUCAGACAAGCCAGCAGCAAUUAGCAAAUACCUGGUGGAGCUACUGAGUUCAUGAAAC